UACGUAGGGGGCAAGCGUUGUCCGGAAUCAUUGGGCGUAAAGCGCGUGUAGGCGGUUCGGUAAGUCUGCUGUGAAAGUCCAGGGCUCAACCCUGGGAUGCCGGUGGAUACUGUCGGACUAGAGUACGGAAGAGGCGAGUGGAAUUCCCGGUGUAGCGGUGAAAUGCGCGGAUAUCGGGAGGAACACCAAUUGCGAAGGCAGCUCGCUGGGACGUCACUGACGCUGAGACGCGAAAGCGUGGGGAGCAAACAGGG
rnacentral:rRNA from 1 species